CCCAAAGUGCUGGGGUUACAUACGUGAGCCACCGCACCUGGCCCAACCCGCUCCUUAUCAAAAAACUUCACCCCGUUGUGGCCUCUUUAUCCUUCACGUGUGUGUCCUGUCCACUAGUCCGUCUUUCCAUGAUUGGUUUGCACACGGCCACUUCAGACCUCCCUACUGCCCAAUGUAUCUACUGUUAUCUUCCUAAAACUCAUGAGCUUUAACCAGGAAAUUGGACUUUGAAUUCAAAAUAAGUAAAACAAUUAGAAGACCAGAAGUACAGGGAGUGCUCUAUUUUACUUCUUGCUGUUUGUGUUUAUUUCCCCAGAGACAGAGCACUACGGAAGGGAGCCCCAUUCCCAAGCAUGGUGUCCAAUACACUGGUGAGUCUUGGCAGAUUAUGAGGCAGGUCACAGACAAUUGCUAUCGUGAAUUAAAAUCUGUGAAUAAAUCUCUUUAUAAUAAAGUAGGGAGUAUCCAAGAGUAUCCUUAUAAUAAAAUUACAUCUACUCAUUUCCAUUUGGAUAUGCCCUCUUGAGUGGAAGAAGGGGAUGGAGUACAGUUGGCACACACCUCAGUCACCUAACUACCAAAUUAUGGUUGUUAAAUAUGGCUGUAAUAAAAAAAUUUCAAGCUUUUCUUGAAAUCUAGUUAUACCCAUGGGGAUGUAUUUAACACGUGAUACCACUUGCCUCUUCUUUUGACAGAAAGAAUAACUGGGCUCAGUAAUGCACCUAGAGACUCAGAUUCCAGACCUGCCCACUUGCUUUACUAUCCAAAACAACCAUGACACAUGACUUCUCUGGCGGGGUGUUGGCCAAGACAAACUGAACUAUAGAAGAUCCUUGACUUGCCAACGUUCAAAUGAUGAACUUUCAAAAAUAGCGAAACUGGCUGCAGAGCAAAAGCUUUUCAGCUCUGCACAACACCAACAGAUGGCGCUAAGUGUCACCCUUGUGGAGAGCAGAGGGACCUCGGAAGGGCCUUUGGAAAUCUAAUCUGGUUUUGAGUUCUUGGUGGGAAAAUGCACCUUUAAGUUGGGGGAGUUUGAAGACGUUGCCAAGACACGUGCUGCAGCAUUUGAUCUUUUCUGCCGCACUGGCUUCUGCAAUUAACAUGCUUUCACCAGUGAAACUCAGGUUGCGGGGAGAGCAUUCUUCCAGGUUCAUGCCUGUUGUCAUGGAGUAAUUAUAAUUCAUGUCUCCGUUCACAGUGUCCUGGUUUGUAGAAUAAAAU
rnacentral:lncRNA from 10 species